AGGUCGGGGGAUUGUGAUCACGAUGGCAAGAGACACCAACAUGGCUGUCCAUACCAGCCCAGACAGACGUGGAUCCAACUCUGAAAUUCCUGGAGUCGCCGCAG